rnacentral:rRNA from 1 species
GGCAGCAGCUAAGAAUAUUCCGCAAUGGGCGAAAGCCUGACGGAGCGACGCCGCGUGGACGAUGAAGGCCGGAAGGUUGUAAAGUCCUUUGGAGACCGAGGAAUAAGCGGGGCAGGGAAUGGCCCCGCGGUGACUGUAGGUCUAGAACAAGCACCGGCUAAUUACGUGCCAGCAGCCGCGGUAACACGUAAGGUGCUAGCGUUGUUCGGAAUUAUUGGGCGUAAAGGGCAUGUAGGCGGCGCGAUAAGUCAGACGUGAAAUCCCGGGGCUCAACCCCGGAACUGCGUUUGAUACUGUUGCGCUUGAGUCAGCGAGGCGGAACCGGAAUUCCUGGUGUAGGGGUGAAAUCUGUAGAUAUCAGGAAGAACACCGGUGGCGAAGGCAGGUUCCGAGCGCAUGACUGACGCUGAGGUGCGAAGGUGCGGGGAGCGAACAGGAUUAGAUACCCUGGUAGUCCGCACAGUAAACGAUGUACACUGGGUGUCCGGGCAGAAGCCUGGGUGCCGAAGCUAACGCCUUAAGUGUACCGCCUGGGGAGUAUGCCCGCAAGGGUGAAACUCAAAGGAAUUGACGG